rnacentral:rRNA from 1 species
UUCCAGACUCCUACGGGAGGCAGCAGUGAGGAAUAUUGGUCAAUGGGAGGAGUCCUGAACCAGCCAUGCCGCGUGCAGGACGACGGCUCUACGAGUUGUAAACUGCUUUUGUACCGGGGUAAAAUGCCUUACGAGUAGGGUUUUGAAAGUACGGUACGAAUAAGGAUCGGCUAACUCCGUGCCAGCAGCCGCGGUAAUACGGAGGAUGCGAGCGUUAUCCGGAUUUAUUGGGUUUAAAGGGUGCGCAGGCGGCCUGUUAAGUCCGGGGUAAAAGCACGGGGCUCAACCCCGGCGAGCCGUUGAAACUGGCGGGCUGGAGUUGGAGAGAAGUACGCGGAAUGCGCGGUGUAGCGGUGAAAUGCUUAGAUAUCGCGCAGAACCCCGAUUGCGAAGGCAGCGUACCGGCUCCACACUGACGCUGAGGCACGAAAGCGUGGGUAUCGAACAGGAUUAGAUACCCCUGUACGA